AAGAAAGUAAUUAAGAGCGUAUGGUGAAUGCCUUGGCUCUCAGUGGCGAUGAAGGACGUGACAAGCUGCGAUAAGCCUCGGGAAGGUGCAAAUAACCUUUGAUCCGGGGAUCUCCGAAUGGGGCAACCCCCCCGGUUGAAGACCGGGGAUCCCCCGAGAAAUCGGGGGAGGCGAACCUGGGGAACUGAAACAUCUAAGUACCCAGAGGAAAAGAAAACAAUAGUGAUUCCCCCAGUAGUGGCGAGCGAACGGGGAAUAGCCCAAAUCCCGGUGGUUACGGCCAUCGGGAGGUUGUAGGACUGUAACGUGGAUGGCAAAUCGAUAGCAGAACCCCUCUGGAAAGCGGGACCAUAGAAGGUGAUAGUCCUGUAGGCGAAAUUGAUUUGCUACCUAACAGUAUCCUGAGUACCGCGGGACCGGUGAAAUCCUGCGGGAAUCCGCCAGCACCAUCUGGCAAGGCUAAAUACUCCUGAGAGACCGAUAGUGGACUAGUACCGUGAGGGAAAGGUGAAAAGUACUUCGAACAGAAGAGUGAAAUAGAACCUGAAACCGUGCGCUUACAACCUGUAGGAGGAGAAACUCCGAUUCGUCGGAGAAGUAUCUGACUGCGUGCCUUUUGCAUAAUGAGCCUACGAGUUACUCCUCUCUAGCAAGGUUAAUCCCGUUGACGGGAGCAGCCGAAGCGAAAGCAAGUCUUAAUAGGGCGUUCAGUUAGAGGGGGUA
rnacentral:rRNA from 1 species